CCCAAUCCCCUCCAUGCCGUCCGGUUCAGAGAGGACCAGCAGGUACUCGGGUAUCUUCUCAAUAAUCUGUCAAAAGAAGUGCUAGUGCAGGUGACCUCCAUCGCGCAUGCACGAGAGCUCUGGACAGCGUUGGCGAGUAUGUUCUCGUCGACGUCGCUGUCCCGCGUCAACAACAUCCGAGCUGCCCUCACAAACGCG
rnacentral:rRNA from 1 species